UGGGGAAUAUUGGACAAUGGGCGCAAGCCUGAUCCAGCAAUGCCGCGUGUGUGAAGAAGGCCUUCGGGUUGUAAAGCACUUUUAUCAGGAGCGAAACGCUGUCGGCUAAUACCCGGCGGAACUGACGGUACCUGAGGAAUAAGCACCGGCUAACUUCGUGCCAGCAGCCGCGGUAAUACGAAGGGUGCAAGCGUUAAUCGGAAUUACUGGGCGUAAAGCGUGCGUAGGCGGUUUUCUUAAGUCUGCUGUGAAAUCCCCGGGCUCAACCUGGGAAUGGCAGUGGAUACUGGGAGGCUAGAGUGUGUCAGAGGGUGGUGGAAUUCCCGGUGUAGCGGUGAAAUGCGUAGAGAUCGGGAGGAACAUCAGUGGCGAAGCGGCCACCUGGGACAACACUGACGCUGAGGCACGAAAGCGUGGGGAGCAAACAGGAUUAGAUACCCUGGUAGUCCACGCCCUAAACGAUGCGAACUGGAUGUUGGUCUCAACUCGGAGAUCAGUGUCGAAGCUAACGCGUUAAGUUCGCCGCCUGGGGAGUACGGUCGCAAGAUUAAAACUUAAAGGAAUUGACGGGUCAUAGCUG
rnacentral:rRNA from 1 species